rnacentral:rRNA from 1 species
GACGUAGGGCGCGAGCGUUGUCCGGAUUUAUUGGGCGUAAAGAGCUCGUAGGCGGCUUGUCGCGUCGAAUGUGAAAAACUCGGGGCUCAACCCCGCGCUUGCAUUCGAUACGGGCAGGCUCGAGUUCGGUAGGGGAGACUGGAAUUCCUGGUGUAGCGGUGAAAUGCGCAGAUAUCAGGAGGAACACCGGUGGCGAAGGCGGGUCUCUGGGCCGAUACUGACGCUGAGGAGCGAAAGCGUGGGGAGCGAACAGG